rnacentral:lncRNA from 1 species
CUCAGGGCAGGGCUGAAGGUGUUACCACAAAGGGGGAAUGACUUCAUAAGUCUCCCACUGAGCUGCCACAAAGCCAAAUGAAAAUAUCUCCAGUUCCCUGGGGACCAGUAAGGCUAUUAGAUUAGAGCUCAGGUGAAGACUAUUUGAUGAGUCAGUCUUCAGAGGAAAAGCCACGGUUGUAAUAGCAUUGGCUUGCCAAAGAUAAAACAGCAUUUAAAAACCAGGUAAUUUUACACACACACACACAUACACACAGACACACACUCUCACUCUCUCUCUGUUUAGAAUUUUUUGCCCUCUAGCCUACUUUUUAAGGAGGCUCUUACCUAAGGAUGGGCUUAAAUUUUUUUUUUUUUUCAGACAGGGUCUCACUCUGUUGCCCAGGCUGGAGUACAGUGACAGGAUCACUGAAGUCUCUACCUCCUCAGGCUUAAGCAGAUCCUUCUACCUCAGCCUCCUGGGUAGGUGGGGCUACAGGUGCACACAAAGACUGUUGAGGAUUACAGCUCAAUCAACAGACAGAAGAACUCCAUCUUAAGCAGAAGGCAAUGCUAGUUUUAUCUCUGAGGACCAACACUGUAACCUUGAACGAGGUUAAAUUAACCUUGCUUAAAUUUUCUGAGCCUCCAUGUCCUCAUCUGUAAAAUAGGAACAAUAUUAUUGCUUAGCUUGGAGAGCUGUUGUGAGAAUUGGAUGAUACAAGCAUGUAUAGCGUGUAUAGCACAGAGCCAGGCAUAUGAAAAACACUCUAUAAUUGAGCUCUUAUAAUUAUUAUAAUACUCUGAUAAUUAUUACAGUAACCCAGAGGCCUUCUGGUGGGGUAGAAAGAUCACUGGCUUAGGAGCCAGAAACUGGGGAACCCGCAUUUAAAGUAUCAUUCAAAAGGUAGCUGUGCCUAUUACUGAUUUCACGUAUGAUGUCCCAUUCCCCAAUGCAAUUUAAAUGGCAGUGGUGUUACACACAUUCUCUCUCCCCACUAAGACGUGAGAAAUAACGGGGAAAAGUCAAAGUUUGACAAAGAGUGUUUCCAUUUAAUUUAUGGAGUAGGCUACCUUUAUGACCUUUUUUUUUUCUUAAAUGUUCUGCACAUCUCGUCUCGCAGGGAAUGUUCCAAGCAUUCAAAUGCAAAUGAGCACCGAGCCAGCCUCCACUGAUUUGCAUUCGC